UUGUACAGGUGCUGCAUGGCUGUCGUCAGCUCGUGUCGUGAGAUGUUCGGUUAAGUCCGCUAACGAGCGCAACCCUCGCUGUGUGUUACAAGUGUCACACGGAACUGCCGGUCAUAAACCGGAGGAAGUGGGGAUAACGUCAAGUCAGCAUGGCCUUUAUAUCCUGGGCUACACACACGCUACAAUGGGAAGGGACAAUAGGUUGCGAAGCCGCGAGGCGGAGCCAAUCCAGCAAAACUUCCCUCAGUUCAGAUUGCAGGCUGCAACCCGCCUGCAUGAAGUUGGAGUUGCUAGUAAACGCAGGUCAGCCAUACUGCGUUGAAUACGUUCCCGGGGCUU
rnacentral:rRNA from 1 species